rnacentral:lncRNA from 1 species
AUGUGCAAGAGUUUCUCCAAGUUAUGUGCUUAGAAAUGGAACUGCUAUAAGUACAUGUUUAGUUUUAUUAGGAAAUGACAGGCUGAUUUCCAAAACAGCUGUAUCAGUUUGCUCUCUCACCAAGAGAAAUGGAAGUUAAUGUUGAAUCAUAUCUUCCCCAAUAUUUGAUAUUAAUCUAUGCUUUAAUUUUUGCCAAUCUAGUACACAUGGAAGAAUUUUAGAUCUGUGCCAGGAAUCAGAAACAAAGACCAAAUAUAUUUUUAUACUACACCACACUGAGUGAGAGAGGAAGAAUGGAGAGUUUUAAGCAAAGGAUGAAAGGCAUAUGGAGUACCAGAGUCUGGGUAUCCUGAUGAAAACCUGUUUACUACCUGCUCUUGACGGACUCCACUGCUUGAGUGAAGCUGUUUCAGGAGAAGCCCAGACUGAGGCCUGAGAAGAGCCUACCACGUGUGGGUUGCCCAUGGCUCUUACUGCCAUGAGCUGAUGGGUGGGAGAGCAGAUAAAAAGAUCUACAAGUACCUGACAUAUCAGUCCAAUAAACAGUCCAUUUGAAUCCAUUUUGCCCUUUUAUUUAUUACCUGACUGACAGGUACGUGUGCAGUUUAUAAGUUCCCUG